rnacentral:lncRNA from 1 species
CAGUUUACCAGAUAAUAGUGCACCCAACACCAUCGACAUUAUUCAUGUUUGUAAUCACCACAAGUUACCUCAAACAAAACCUGCAAAGAUAAUAUCUGCCAAAAAUAAAAGAGAAAUAGAACAAAAAGUUCAGUUAAUCAUAAUUCUUCGAAGGGGCAGAUUGCUAUUUUCUUUUCUAAUGACGAGAAAAGUAGCUAAUAACAAUGAGCUACCUUUAGACUCUGGUCAUUGAUAAUAAUUAUAAGCAAAGCACGUCAUCAACAUAUGUCUAGAACAACUUCAAGGUAUGAGAGUUUGACAUUUGGAUCAUUUACAACCUUCUCUGAUAUUCAAAAAAGUACCAGAGAGCCAGAUACAAUUGAGGAAACCAAUGAUUCAUACAGGAGAUUAGGGGGUUAAAUUGAUUCACAUAAAAAGGUAGAGGGCUUUAGGAAGAUUACAAAUUAACAGUUGGAUUCACCAAUUUGUGCCAACAUCGGCAGAUUUAUACAUUGCUCGCUCCAAAGUGUACAGAGAUGUCAACCUUGUCAACUGAAAUGCAUUUUCAGAAGAAUAAAUUGACUUUUACUGGAUUCUGUACAUCUCCACCGAUGGAAAAGAAUUUACAGGCAACUGUUAUUGAUUCUCAAAAAGAUAGAAAAAUGACGAUGCUGGCUGGUAAUUGGGGGGGGAGGGGGGGGGGGG